GCUCAUUUUGAGUCCAGAUGGUGACAUGACGGGCAAGUGGGUGCAUGUGGUAUGGUAGUCAUGGCAACACAAGAGAUAUUGGACAAACCUUAUGGUUUUAUUGGAGUACAUGUUGGUGUUGGUAAAUACUCCUCUACAAAUGAAGCUGACUACAAAGAUGCUUGUAGGACAGCAUGUUUACAAGCAGUGGCUGCUCUUAAAGAAGGUAAAUUAGCAGUAGAAGCAGUUGCUGUUGCUCUUUCUGCUCUAGAGGAUGCUCCUUGCCCAAAUGCAGGUGUUGGCUCCAACCUAAAUCUUGAAGGAGAGGUUGAAUGUGAUGCUAGCAUCAUGGAUGGCAAAUCAUUGGGGUUUGGUGCAGUUGGUGCAGUGAAGGGGAUUAAAAACCCAAGUCAAGUUGCUGCCCAUCUUCUGAAAAAAGAACUCCAAGGACCAACAAGUGUUGGUCUCAUUCCACCAAUAUUUCUAGUAGGGGAUGGUGCAGUUCGCUGGGCAAACCAAAAUUCUGUUGCAGAAAGUGUGUCAAAUGAAUCUCUCAUAACUGAUAAAAGUCUUGCAGCAUAUAACAAAAGUAAGGCCAAACUAGACAGGACUAGACUGAACACAGUUAUACAUAACUCUCACAAGAAACGAAGAAUUGAAGACUUGUGUGUUUAUGAAGAUUCAUACAUGGAUACUGUAGGCGUGGUGUGCGUGGAUUCGGAAGGGAAUCUCUGUGCAGGUGUUUCUAGUGGUGGAUUGUUACUUAAGACCCCUGGGAGAGUCGGGCAGGCAGCCGUGUAUGGUAGUGGUUGUUGGGCCAGGAACAAAACUGAAGAGAGUGAUGUUGGUGUAGCUUGCUGUACGACAGGGUGUGGUGAAUAUCUAAUCAAGACUAUACUCGCUAAGGAAUGCGCAGAAAUGGCUUCAAACAGUGCUACUCAAUCACNAGUGGAAUUGACAGCGGGAGAAAAGAUGGAUAUUCAGCCGUGAAAGAUGCUUUACAACAGAAAUUUUUUGAUGCGCCGCAUUUGCUUUCAAAUAAGCAGAAAAUAGCUGGGAUUUUACUACUCAGGGCAAUGGAAUCAAGCCAAGGUCGCGAGGUGGAGCUUGUUUGGGGUCAUAAUGCCUCUAGUAUGUGCUUGGGGUACAUGUCUAC
rnacentral:misc_RNA from 1 species